GCAAAGACAGCUGUUCUUUCUUGACUCUGUCUGCGGUUCUGGUUUAAGUGAUGCCAGAUACAUGCAUUUGUACAGGUCUUUCAACAGUUAACAUGUUCAGCAGCAGUGUUGCCAGUUCUGUUUAAAACCCUACUGCUGUUUUGUUGUCUUACUCCUUAAGGAGUAGACCAAUGAUACUAUGUUACUUUACUUUUUUGAAGGUGAACAUGAAACGGAAUUUAAACUCAAUUUACUUUUGGGAUGCGAGUUAAAAACUAAAAAUAAUUUUUUAAUGCACUGAUCAAUUGCUCACAACAAGAAAAGUUAAACUGGGGCAAUUCGAUUUCAUGUUGACAUCAAAAUGUAUGGUAGUUCUGUUCUAUGCCAUACAUUUUUUUUUCUUUGUUCUGUUUAUUCAUGUUUAAACCAAAAUGUUUAAUUCAUUAGCGUGCUUGCAAGCCAGCACUGUUGUGAAAUUGCCAUUAAUUCAUUAACACUGCCUUGCAAGCACUGCUAUUAUUACCUUAAAGAAAGAUAUUUCUUGCUCGUCUUUGUUCUGUGUUCAUAUACACUUUUUCCCCCUGUAAUUGAUAGAGCGCUUGCCCCAAAAAUUGCACCAGGAAUAUGGUCAGAGACUGUCCUAGAUGACAUUACGGUGAGAUUUUUCUGUAGACAUCCCACAUAGACCAUGAGCACAGCUGCUUUUAAAAUGUUAAAAGUUAAUAAUUGCUGUGGAAAAACACAACUAUAACUGCAUGCAAAUUAUAUGUGGUGUAUUUGAUGUCAUCCCUAGGACAAUGCAAGACAAAAGAUGUCAAACAACUGUGGCAUAUUUGUCUUAAUGGCAAGUAUAUUUAAAUAACUAACAGGGAAGUGUGAUCAAUUGCAAUUUAGUACCUAUUUUAUUUUUGUUUCUUUGAAUAUUUUAGUAUGCACUGUAUGUUGUUCUGGGAGAAAAGUUUGACUUCACUGAACUGAACAUGAGGAACAUAAGAAAAUGGUGGUGUGCCAUACUGCUUGACAAUUUCUCUUUAGAACAUGGAAGGAAGAGAAAAAGAGCGGAUGUAGCUGAAGAAGAAAACUCUGUACUACCUGAAACUUCUGUCAAGAGGAAAGCAGAACAUGGAUAUGAACGUAUGUUGUGUACUAUGAACUUUGUGUUUUGAAUUUUAAUUUGUAAAUAAUAUUGUUCAGCUAAUUUUCAGUGCCAAAUUACUUCAAUUCAGCAGCCCAAUCACCAAUUGUACCUUCUGUUUUUAGCACGGUAAGCAUAAUCCAUCUUUAAUACCUAUGAUGAUUUCAAAUGUGUUCCAUUGGUUUGAAUCCACUUUUUUUCCCAUAAGUAUGACCUGUUAAAAGAAGAUGACCCUCCAACAUGCUUCAUCUUCAAGGUACUGCAGUAAUGUAGUUUACACUUUUUUUCCCAUAAGUAUGACCUGUUAAAAGAAGAUGACCCUCCAACAUGCUUCAUCUUCAAGGUACUGCAGUAAUGUAGUUUACACUUUUUUUUUGUUCUAAUGCCUGUGCUAAGUGUUAUUAUCAGUUAUCAGGAGCAUUGUUAAGGAACAUAUUGCUUGAAGUUAUUCUUGAAGAAGGAGAUGCUGCCUACAUGAAAUUGGCAUUGGUUUGCACCAGAUUCAGAAACCUAGUUGGGGAAAAAAGCUUCAAACAGCAGGCACACUUUUUGUGGCUACAAAGUGUUGCUUGUUGGAAAGAUAAAACUGCAGAGUACAAACAAGACUUCUGGAGAAUGUACUCCAUCUCCACUUGUUUGGAGUGCUAUGAUGAUUACAAAAGCUGCACACCUGGUUAUGCUGGGAAGGGCAGAAGAGGUGAGUUACGUGGGAUCUACUCAGAAGCCUUCCAUCCAGGAUUUUGCAGUCUCUCGUGUAUGCAAGCCAAAUGUGCUAAUGAGUAGUUUAAAUAUACAUAGAGAAUGCAUUGCACCAUCCAUCAGAAUUGAGAAAGGAGUUGGACCAUGGUACCAUCAAUCUUUUCCUCUUCAGUCUUGGAAUUAUUUUUUUGUGUUUUGUUUUAAGUUGGCUUGUAUUUCCAAUUUGAUUUAGUUCAGAUUAAAUGUUUAUUUGUUAAAGUUACUUCCA